GAACCCUUAGGGAACUUUGUCGUACCCAAUCCUUGGUAAUGACUGUGAAACUCGAAAGAAGUGAGGUGGGAGAUUUUUGUCCUGGAUGAAGGCUCCUUAUUAAAUAACUUCUUAUUUUUCAUUUAUGACUGUUGUAAUUUAAUGUAUCUGGGCAGUAAUAAUUUGUAAGAAUAUUGGGGCAUAUAGUGAAUAUGGGGGGUUAUGCAUGUUUAAUUAAGUGAAUGGGUAGAAAACAUGCCUAUAGGACUUAUUUAUUUAUUUGUGCAAUAGCUACCAUGCCUUAGGACAUGCAUCCUCACAUAUAGAAACCAUGUUCUUAGGCCUUUUACUUUUAGUUGCAAUUCUGUACAUUCUUGUACCCAUGACUAAUUAAUAAGCAACAAGUCAUUUAGAUAUCAUGUUCAUAGGACCUCUGUGCAUUAGAGACAAUGCCUUUAGGACCUUUUAUCUGAGAUGCUUUAAGUAUUUCGUUAAUUUGGGUAAAAAAUUGGUUAACGACCCUCUGUUUAAAACUGGAAGCAAAUGUGCAUGUUCCCCGCUUGUUAAUAACACCUAGGCAAGCCUUAGGCAGGAUAAAAUGGGGUAAUCACCUCUAUGUCACGUUCGAAUUAAUCCGCCUUUACCUGAACUCGCUUGUUUCAAAAACUGUCUCAUCUUUUUUAUAAAUUUCUGCCCUGUUUUCCUUAAAAUUACUUAUACAAAUACUUCUACUUUUUCCAGAAAUGGAUUGUUAUUUUCAAAACCAUAUAUACUAAUAUUGUAUUUUCUCGUCCAGCACUGGGCUACUGCUAUUUUCAAGCUAUCUGAAUACUGACAGUUUAUAGAGGUUCAGAACCUGGCAUGUUUUCUUUAUACUUCUGCAAUCUUUCAAAUACUCUCAUAUUUGUUCUCCUAGUCUGCUUUUCUGAAACUGUAUUCUACAAAUAUUUUAAACCCUUCUGUAGGUAUUCUAAAAAAACUGAUAUUGUCUCUCUUAAGUGCUGAAUGUCUUCUCUUGCAUUCCUUUUCUGCAAACUCUCCAUUUCUAUUUUAACUUAUGCUCUAGUUUUUCGAAAGAUUCUUCCUUCCUUAGACCUUAUUUAUGUUUGACUCGUGCCAAUUACGUGUCCGUUAUAGAGGGAUAAUUGAGCCUUUAUAUGUUUACAUGAUUCCUUUAUAUGCAAGUCCGAUUUGUUUUGUAUGUCGCCUAGAAUUUUAACCUUUGAACCUAGGGGUUUAGCCUAGUUCCUACCUUAUAGGAAUAGUGAUCCUAAGUGCCAUCUAGGAUCUAUAGAAUAGGACGGGUAACAGCACGC
rnacentral:lncRNA from 1 species